GCAGUUUCCAGUGGCCAGGGGCACGCGCGGCCGGAGGGGCGUCGGGGGCGGUACUCACCGCGGCCGUUCUGGUUGGGCCGGUACACGCUGCCCACGCUGAGGCGGCCCUGCUGCGCGCCGUUCCGUUCCCCACCCGGCGGGGGCGUGUCGGAGCUGCGCACGGGCAGGAGCUCCUGCCUGCCUAGAUGAAGAGGAGGUCAAGACUUUGUCCCCCACUCCCCAAGAUACCCCCUCUGUUCCAGAGCGGUGGGUCCCUCCCCUGUUAGGACCUUGUCUCCCUCAGGACUGGACCUGGAUCCUGGGCCUGCAGUCAGAUUGCCAGUCUCACUUAGAGGUGGUAAUGUCAACCCACUGGUUGGAAUGGGAAGAGACUGGGUCCCACUAUAUUGCCUGGGCUGGCCUCGGACUCUUGACCCCAAGUGAUCCUCUGGCCUCAGCCUCCCAAGCAGCUGGACUUAUAGGCAGGCACCACCACACCGAGCUAAAAGUCAGCCUCAUUUGUUCUUUUCCCGGAAGACUGGUUUUGUCUAAGACAGAAAAUAUGACCACUGACAGCUUCUGAGUGU
rnacentral:antisense_RNA from 1 species